rnacentral:rRNA from 1 species
AGUUUGAUCCUGGCUCAGGAUGAACGCUAGCUACAGGCUUAACACAUGCAAGUCGAGGGGAAACGACAUCGAAAGCUUGCUUUCGAUGGGCGUCGACCGGCGCACGGGUGAGUAACGCGUAUCCAACCUGCCCAUCACUUGGGGAUAACCUUGCGAAAGUAAGACUAAUACCCAAUGACGUCUCUAGAAGACAUCUGAAGGAGAUUAAAGAUUUAUCGGUGAUGGAUGGGGAUGCGUCUGAUUAGCUUGUUGGCGGGGUAACGGCCCACCAAGGCGACGAUCAGUAGGGGUUCUGAGAGGAAGGUCCCCCACAUUGGAACUGAGACACGGUCCAAACUCCUACGGGAGGCAGCAGUGAGGAAUAUUGGUCAAUGGGCGAGAGCCUGAACCAGCCAAGUAGCGUGCAGGAUGACGGCCCUAUGGGUUGUAAACUGCUUUUAUAAGGGAAUAAAGUGAGCCUCGUGAGGCUUUUUGCAUGUACCUUAUGAAUAAGGACCGGCUAAUUCCGUGCCAGCAGCCGCGGUAAUACGGAAGGUCCGGGCGUUAUCCGGAUUUAUUGGGUUUAAAGGGAGCGUAGGCCGGAGAUUAAGCGUGUUGUGAAAUGUAGACGCUCAACGUCUGCACUGCAGCGCGAACUGGUUUCCUUGAGUACGCACAAAGUGGGCGGAAUUCGUGGUGUAGCGGUGAAAUGCUUAGAUAUCACGAAGAACUCCGAUUGCGAAGGCAGCUCACUGGAGCGCAACUGACGCUGAAGCUCGAAAGUGCGGGUAUCGAACAGGAUUAGAUACCCUGGUAGUCCGCACGGUAAACGAUGGAUGCCCGCUGUUGGUCUGAAUAGGUCAGCGGCCAAGCGAAAGCAUUAAGCAUCCCACCUGGGGAGUACGCCGGCAACGGUGAAACUCAAAGGAAUUGACG